GGUAGUGUGGCCGAGCGGUCUAAGUGCUGGAUUAAGGCUCCAGUUUCUUUGGAGGCAUAGGUUUGAAUCCCACCACUACCA
rnacentral:tRNA from 1 species